rnacentral:rRNA from 1 species
CCUACGGGGUGCUGCAGUGGGGAAUAUUGCGCAAUGGGCGAAAGCCUGACGCAGCGACGCCGCGUGAGGGAUGAAGGUCUUCGGAUCGUUAACCUCUGUCAGCAGGGAAGAACGGUCACUGUGCUAAUCAGCAGUGAAUUGACGGUACCUGCAAAGGAAGCACCGGCUAACUCCGUGCCAGCAGCCGCGGUAAUACGGAGGGUGCGAGCGUUAAUCGGAAUUACUGGGCGUAAAGCGCUCGUAGGCGGUAUGUCAAGUCAAGGGUGAAAUCCCCGCGCUCAACGUGGGAACUGCCUUUGAAACUGGCAAACUGGAGUGUGUGAGAGGAUAGUGGAAUUCCAGGUGUAGGAGUGAAAUCCGUAGAUAUCUGGAGGAACAUCAGUGGCGAAGGCGACUAUCUGGCACAUAACUGACGCUGAGGAGCGAAAGCGUGGGUAGCAAACAGGAUUAGAUACCCCUGUAGUC